AGAGUUUGAUCAUGGCUCAGGACGAACGCUGGCGGCGUGCCUAACACAUGCAAGUCAAGGACGUAGCAAUACGGACUGGCGCACGGGUGCGGAACACGUAGGUAAUCUGCCCAAAAGGGGAGAACAACUCGUCGAAAGACGAGCUAAGACUCCGUAACAUCUCGACGUGGCAUCACGAUGAGAUCAAGUUUUCUUUUGGAUGAGCCUGCGCCUGAUUAGCUAGUUGGUAGUGUAAUGGACUACCAAGGCUACGAUCAGUAGCUGGUCUGAGAGGAUGAUCAGCCACAUUGGGACUGAGACACGGCCCAGACUCCUACGGGAGGCAGCAGUGAGGAAUAUUGCUCAAUGGACGAAAGUCUGAAGCAGCAACGCCGCGUGAGGGAUGAAGGUGCUCUGCAUUGUAAACCUCUGUAGUCGGGGAAAAAUGGUGGGUUACUACCCAUUUGAUGGUACCCGAAAAGUAAGGAUCGGCUAACUACGUGCCAGCAGCCGCGGUAAUACGUAGGAUCCAAGCGUUGUCCGGAUUUACUGGGUGUAAAGGGUGCGCAGGCGGACUGGUUAGUCAGGGGUGAAAUCCCGUCGCUUAACGACGGACCUGCCUUUGAUACUGCCAGUCUUGAAUUAGCGAGAGGUUCGUGGAAUUCCGAGUGUAGCAGUGAAAUGUGUAGAUAUUCGGAAGAACACCAGUGGCGAAGGCAGCGAACUGGCGCUAUAUUGACGCUCAGGCACGAAAGCAUGGGGAUCAAACAGGAUUAGAUACCCNNGUAGUCC
rnacentral:rRNA from 1 species